CAGCCGCCACGGGAAUACGAAGGGUGCAAGCGUUACUCGGAAUUACUGGGCGUAAAGCGUGCGUAGGUGGUGGUUUAAGUCCGUUGUGAAAGCCCUGGGCUCAACCUGGGAAUUGCAGUUGAUACUGGGUCACUAGAGUGUGGUAGAGGAUAGUGGAAUUUCCGGUGUAGCAGUGAAAUGCGUAGAGAUCGGAAGGAACAUCUGUGGCGAAGGCGACUAUCUGGGCCAACACUGACACUGAGGCACGAAAGCGUGGGGAGCAAACAGGAUUAGAUACCCCAGUAGUCCCUGUCUCUUAUAC
rnacentral:rRNA from 1 species